rnacentral:rRNA from 1 species
CCAAAGUGGUCGCUACCACUGGAAGGGUCGGUUCUGAUCAAUACAGAUGCGGCAAUCUUCUCAGACUCGUGUCGUAUGGGUAUCAGAGUUGUCAUCCGUGACCAUCUGGGAGUAGUACGGCCUGCUUGCAGAUGCUAUGUGGACCAGGUGGAAGACCCAGAACUUGCUGAAGCCAUAGCGGUGCGACAUGCCUUAUCAUUCAUUGAAGAAGCUGGCUUCCAAUCUAUUAUUAUGGCAUCUGAUUGCUCUACUGUAGUGAAUAAGGUGAAGAAUGUGACAACUGAUAGAUCUCAGAUAGGUGUCGUAAUAUAUGACAUCAAAAGUAGGGCUUUUAAGUUUAAAUCUUGUAUGUUUACUCAUGUCAACCGAUCAUGUAAUGUGGCAGCUCAUGUUCUUGCUAGAUCUGCAGAGCAUGACCCUGGGUCCUGCUGGUUUAAUGUUGUACCUGAUGUAAUCAGGACCAUCAUUUGUUCUGAAACAUUUGCUGAAUGA